UGCAGUCGAACGGCAGCGGGGGCUUCGGCCUGCCGGCGAGUGGCGAACGGGUGAGUAAUGCAUCGGAACGUACCCAGUCGUGGGGGAUAACUACGCGAAAGCGUAGCUAAUACCGCAUACGCCCUGAGGGGGAAAGCGGGGGACCUUCGGGCCUCGCGCGAUUGGAGCGGCUGAUGUCGGAUUAGCUAGUUGGUGGGGUAAAGGCCUACCAAGGCGACGAUCCGUAGCUGGUCUGAGAGGAUGAUCAGCCACACUGGGACUGAGACACGGCCCAGACUCCUACGGGAGGCAGCAGUGGGGAAUUUUGGACAAUGGGCGCAAGCCUGAUCCAGCCAUGCCGCGUGAGUGAAGAAGGCCUUCGGGUUGUAAAGCUCUUUCAGACGGAAAGAAAUCGGGCGCGUGAAUAGCGUGCCUGGAUGACGGUACUGUCAGAAGAAGCACCGGCUAACUACGUGCCAGCAGCCGCGGUAAUACGUAGGGUGCGAGCGUUAAUCGGAAUUACUGGGCGUAAAGCGUGCGCAGGCGGUUGUGUAAGACAGGUGUGAAAUCCCCGGGCUUAACCUGGGAACUGCGCUUGUGACUGCACGGCUAGAGUACGGCAGAGGGGGGUGGAAUUCCACGUGUAGCAGUGAAAUGCGUAGAUAUGUGGAGGAACACCG
rnacentral:rRNA from 1 species